UUGACAAGGAUAAGGCAGUGAAUCAAGAACCUUUCUGGUGGAUCUCACCUUACCACUUCAUCACCUCACCACUUCAUCUUGCUCUUUGACAAGGAUAAGGCAGUAAAUCAAGAAUCUUUCUGGUGGAUCUCACCUCACCACUUCAUCUUCUCCACCAUUUCAAGUAAAAACUUCCUGUGCACCAAAAACUCCAAACAUUUUUGGUGAUGAAACAAGUACGUCUACGUAGCAGCAGCCCCUGUCAUUCCGAUUUUCUCUUUGGAGGAACUCAUGCUCCCAGCCACCGAGUCAACAGUUCCUGUGUAAUUUCUUUUUCCUUUUCUCUUUUAAUUUACAUGAAAACGUUUUUCGAAAUCAUUCUCUUGAAAAACAUUUUUUAAAAGGUGAAUUUGCAAGAAGCAAGUACAUAAUAGAAGAGAAAUUUAAUUGAAUAACCAUAAGAUAAUAAUGUGACACUCUUUCACCAAUGUGAUCAAUCUCUCCAAAACUCGUGUGUGUUGGGGUCUUACUUUUCAAAGAUAGAUGAAAUAUAUACUAUAUACUAUGUAAAUAUGUACGAUGGUACAUAUUCAAAAUAAAUAGGGAAAAUAUAGAACAGAAUACAACAAAAUAAUGCUUUAUUUGAAGAUAAAUUAAACUAUACUAUGAAUUUAUAAUAAUUAAAGUAUGUGUUUAAAUCAUUUUUUGUCAUCAUGUUUAAAUCAUAUUUAUAUAAUUAAAUAUAAAUUUUAUAAAAAUAUAUGCUUAUUUAAAAUUUUCAAAACAUUUUAUAUGUUGAAAAUAUGUGAUCUUUCUUACAUGUAAUAUAUAAAAUUGAAUAAUUUUUUAUUUGAAUAAUAUAUAGAUUAGAGGGGAAAAGGAAAAAAAAGCCAAAAUGGAAAACAAAGAAUACUACUCAUGCAGAUAUGUAGGGAUGAUAUAAUAUAGUAACUAGACUUUCAUAUUUGAAUAAUUUAUUUUCACUGUAAUUAUUAGACGAACGAAGAUAUACAAACUUCAACAAAUUUGAAACUUAUUUUAUAUUUAACUUAUGUAUACAAAUUAUUUUUAAAAUUUGUAUUUUUAAAAUUAUUUUAUAUUUAACUUAUGUAUACAAAUUAUUAUCUAUAGUACUUUUAUUUGAUAUUUAUAGCAUUUUUGAUAUUCAUCAUAUACAUUUAUAGCAUGUUUUAGAGUUUUCACACAUAUUAAGAAAACACAUUAAUCAUGCAUUGUUUUUAGAAAUUACCAAAUUUCAAUGCAUUUUAAUCAAUAGUCUUUCAAUAAAUUCAAUUAAUUUUAUUGAAAUUUGCAAUUUUUAUAUAGAAAACAUAAAAAAUACAUCUUUUUGGAACAAAUAUUUUUUCCAGAACAUGCAUCUUUUAAAAACAGAGGGAGUAUAUGAUAAAAAUUAUACACUAACCAACAAUUCAAUGACUUAAAAACCCUUAUAAUGGGCCAUUAUAGUAUGACAACAAUACAUCCAACGAGUAAUUCAAAAAUAUUAUUUAGUACUUUUAUUUGAUAUUUAUAACGUUUUUAAUAUUUCAUAUAUACAUUUAAUCUUUAAGUAUUUAUAUUUAGUUAUCUCACUCAACAUAUGAUAAAAUGAGCUAAAUAAUAUAUGAUAAAAUAUUAAUAUAUACACUAAACCAAUUCAAUGACUUAAAAAAUCUAUAAAUGGGCCAUUAUAGUAUGACAAUAUAUCAAAAGGUUGUCAUAUGAAUUGAUUACAAAAGGUUUAUAUAGAUGACAAUAUAUCAAAAGGUUGUCUUUUUGUGCAGAGUAUGUUUACAAAAGGUUGUCUUUUUCGUUUAUAGGUUGGAGCUAGUAUGUUAGAUUAAUAUAUGAAAUCUACAAAGUCAGAUUAUAUAAAUCUUUUCCUACAAACAACAUGUAAUUCUGAUCAAGUGCUGAAACCUAGGUGAAUUUUUCUUCUUCUUUGAAAUGUCAUUUGCUCAAUCGUUUUUUCUCCAGCUUGCUGAAACAGAGUUCAAAGUUCUUUUUCUGGGUUGCGAAUUGUAAGGCGACAUUGUUCUUUAGAUACAUCUGGUAUAUGGCCUUAUUGUUUAUGAUGUCUAACAAGUGUGUUAAGAUGGGAAUUACUUCAGAUAAAGUAUAUUUUUAAUAAUUUUGUACGAUUGAUUACGGAAUAUGUGAAACUAAUCAAAUGUGGUAUCAUGUCAUGUUUUUGAUC